rnacentral:rRNA from 1 species
GACGAACCGAGCGAACGUUGUUCGGAAUCACUGGGCUUAAAGGGCGCGUAGGCGGGAUGGCAAGUCGGUCGUGAAAUCCCUCGGCUCAACCGAGGAACGUCGAUCGAUACUGCUGUUCUUGAGGAUUGCAGAGGAGACUGGAAUUCCCGGUGUAGCGGUGAAAUGUGUAGAGAUCGGGAGGAACACCGGUGGCGAAGGCGGGUCUCUGGGCAAUCCCUGACGCUGAGGCGCGAAAGCGUGGGGAGCAAACGGG